rnacentral:rRNA from 1 species
UACGUAGGGUGCGAGCGUUAAUCGGAAUUACUGGGCGUAAAGCGUGCGCAGGCGGCUUCUCAAGUCAGGGGUGAAAGCCCAGAGCUCAACUCUGGAAUUGCCUUUGAGACUGAGUGGCUUGAGUACGAGAGAGGUGAGUGGAAUUCCCAGUGUAGAGGUGAAAUUCGUAGAUACUGGGAAGAACACCGGUGGCGAAGGCGGCUCACUGGCUCGUAACUGACGCUCAUGCACGACAGCGUGGGGAUCAAACAGG